rnacentral:rRNA from 1 species
CAGGCCUAACACAUGCAAGUCGAACGCACCGCAAGGUGAGUGGCAGACGGGUGAGUAACACGUGGGAACAUGCCCUUCGGUUCGGGAUAACUCAGGGAAACUUGAGCUAAUACCGGAUACGUCCGCGAGGAGAAAGAUUCAUCGCCGAAGGAUUGGCCCGCGUCUGAUUAGCUAGUUGGUGAGGUAACGGCUCACCAAGGCGACGAUCAGUAGCUGGUCUGAGAGGAUGAUCAGCCACAUUGGGACUGAGACACGGCCCAAACUCCUACGGGAGGCAGCAGUGGGGAAUAUUGGACAAUGGGCGAAAGCCUGAUCCAGCAAUGCCGCGUGAGUGAUGAAGGCCUUAGGGUUGUAAAGCUCUUUUACCCGGGAUGAUAAUGACAGUACCGGGAGAAUAAGCCCCGGCUAACUCCGUGCCAGCAGCCGCGGUAAU